GAUGAAGAACGCAGCGAAAUGCGAUAAGUAAUGUGAAUUGCAGAAUUCAGUGAAUCAUCGAAUCUUUGAACGCACCUUGCGCUCCUUGGUAUUCCGAGGAGCAUGCCUGUUUGAGUGUCAUGAAAUUCUCAACCUUUUCAGCUUUCUUUGUUGAUCAGGCUUGGAUGUGGGAGUAUGCGGGCUUCUCAGAAGUCGGCUCUCCUGAAAUGCAUUAGCGGGACCUUUGUUGCCUGGCUUUGGUGUGAUAAUUAUCUACGCCAUUGUAGUCAAGCAGCUUAAAAUGAGGUUUCAGCUUCUAACCAUCUCCCCUGAGACAACUUUUUGACAAUUUGACCUCAAAUCAGGUAGGACUACCCGCUGAACUUAAGCAUAUCAAUAAGCGGAGGA
rnacentral:misc_RNA from 1 species